rnacentral:rRNA from 1 species
UACGGGGGGGGGCAAGCGUUGUUCGGAAUUACUGGGCGUAAAGGGCGCGUAGGCGGACGAGCAAGUCCGGGGUGAAAUCUUUCGGCUCAACCGGAAAAGUGCCUGGGAAACUGCUCGUCUUGAGGGAGGUAGGGGCCUGUGGAACUUCCGGUGGAGCGGUGAAAUGCGUUGAUAUCGGAAGGAACGCCGGUGGCGAAAGCGACGGGCUGGCCCUCCACUGACGCUGAGGCGCGAAAGCCAGGGGAGCGAACGGG